rnacentral:rRNA from 1 species
CAGCACUAAGUGGGUGGUAAACUCCAUCUAAAACUAAAUAUAACCAUAAGACCGAUAGCAAACAAGUACCGUGAGGGAAAGUUGAAAAGAACUCUGAAUAGAGAGUUAAAUAGUACGUGAAACUGUAUAGAGGUUAAGCCCGAUGAACCUGAAUAUCCAAUUAUAGAGAAUUCAUCAUCAGUAAAAUGAAUUUUUUCGAAAAUUUAUUUGAAUGGUGUGCACUUUCUCUAUUUAAGGACAUUGUAAUUUGUUAAUGUAUAAAUGCGUAUUAUAAGAACGUGGACAUUUGUUUACUAGAGUUUGUUUACUUUAUGUUUUCAUACACAUGUAAAAGUCCUGCGAUUCGAAUAUGCCAUUGACAAAUUUAUUACAUAUAGUACUUGAAUACAUGUAUUCUACAAUAGCAUUACCAUCAUUGAUGUGUAUGUGUUUAUUGUAUGUAUUUAUAUGAUUAACAAUGCGAAAGAUUCAGGAUACCUUCGGGACCC